rnacentral:misc_RNA from 1 species
AAAGUCGUAACAAGGUUUCCGUAGGUGAACCUGCGGAAGGAUCAUUAUCGAAUAAAUCUGGCGUAGGGUUGUCGCUGGCUCUCUGGAGCAUGUGCACGCCUCCGUCACCUUUAUCUAUCCACCUGUGCACACACUGUAGUCCUGGAUACCUCUCGCCGAAAGGCGGAUGCAGAGCUUGCGUGCUUGCUGCUUGCUUGCUCUGAAUUUCCAGGUCUAUGCUUUUUUAUUACACACCCCAAACGAAUGUAACAGAAUGUCGUCAUUGGGCCUUUGUGCCUAUAAACUUAAUACAACUUUCAACAACGGAUCUCUUGGCUCUC